rnacentral:rRNA from 1 species
AACCUGGUUGAUCCUGCCAGUAGUCAUAUGCUUGUCUCAAAGAUUAAGCCAUGCAUGUCUCAGUAUGAGUCUUCACACGGCGAAACUGCGAAUGGCUCAUUAAAACAGUUAUAGUUUAUUUGAUUGUCAAACAGUAUAAGGAUAACUGUGGUAAUUCUAGAGCUAAUACUUGUGCAAACGCCCAACUCUUCGGACGGGCUGUAUUUAUUAGAUACAGAACCAAUACCUUCGGGUUUUUGGAUGAUUCAUGAUAAAUGAACGGAGCGCAUGGCUUGUGCCGGCGCUGUAUCAUUCAAGUUUCUGACCUAUCAGCUUUCGACGGUAGGGUGUUGGCCUACCGUGGCAUUGACGGGUAACGGAGAAUUAGGGUUCGAUUCCGGAGAGGGAGCCCGAGAAACGGCUACCACAUCUAAGGAAGGCAGCAGGCGCGCAUAUUACCCCAAUCCUGAUACAGGGGAGGUAUGUGACCAA